AUGCAGUCGCACGGACCUUUCGGGGUGAGUGGCGGACGGGUGAGUAUCGCGUAGGGAUCUAUCCAUGGGUGGGGGAUAACAUCGGGAAACUGGUGCUAAUACCGCAUGAUACCUGAGGGUCAAAGGCGCAAGUCGCCUGUGGAGGAGCCUGCGUUCGAUUAGCUUGUUGGUGGGGUAAAGGCCUACCAAGGCGAUGAUCGAUAGCUGGUCUGAGAGGAUGAUCAGCCACACUGGGACUGAGACACGGCCCAGACUCCUACGGGAGGCAGCAGUGGGGAAUAUUGGACAAUGGGCGAAAGCCUGAUCCAGCAAUGCCGCGUGUGUGAAGAAGGUCUUCGGAUUGUAAAGCACUUUCGACGGGGACGAUGAUGACGGUACCCGUAGAAGAAGCCCCGGCUAACUUCGUGCCAGCAGCCGCGGUAAUACGAAGGGGGCUAGCGUUGCUCGGAAUGACUGGGCGUAAAGGGCGCGUAGGCGGUUUACACAGUCAGAUGUGAAAUUCCAGGGCUUAACCUUGGGGCUGCAUUUGAUACGUGUAGACUAGAGUGUGAGAGAGGGUUGUGGAAUUCCCAGUGUAGAGGUGAAAUUCGUAGAUAUUGGGAAGAACACCGGUG
rnacentral:rRNA from 1 species